AUGUUACCCCACGACUUGCUCGCCGACGUCCUCCGCCACCUCGGACCGCCGCGCCUCGUCGCCGUGUCCCGCUGCAUCUGCAAGGCAUGGCGCGACGUCAUCGACGAUCAUCGCCUGCUGCGAGCGGACCUCCUUCCUCUCUCUCUGGCCGGCAUCUUU
rnacentral:rRNA from 1 species